rnacentral:rRNA from 1 species
UAACACAUGCAAGUCGAACGGAAAGGCCCUGCUUGCAGGAUACUCGAGUGGCGAACGGGUGAGUAACACGUGGGUGAUCUGCCCUGCACUUCGGGAUAAGCCUGGGAAACUGGGUCUAAUACCGGAUAGGAGCCAUUUUUAGUGUGAUGGUUGGAAAGUUUUUUCGGUGUAGGAUGAGCUCGCGGCCUAUCAGCUUGUUGGUGGGGUAAUGGCCUACCAAGGCGGCGACGGGUAGCCGGCCUGAGAGGGUGGACGGCCACAUUGGGACUGAGAUACGGCCCAGACUCCUACGGGAGGCAGCAGUGGGGAAUAUUGCACAAUGGGCGCAAGCCUGAUGCAGCGACGCCGCGUGGGGGAUGACGGCCUUCGGGUUGUAAACUCCUUUCGCUAGGGACGAAGCUUUUUGUGACGGUACCUAGAUAAGAAGCACCGGCUAACUACGUGCCAGCAGCCGCGGUAAUACGUAGGGUGCGAGCGUUGUCCGGAAUUACUGGGCGUAAAGGGCUCGUAGGUGGUUUGUCGCGUCGUCUGUGAAAUUCCGGGGCUUAACUCCGGGCGUGCAGGCGAUACGGGCAUAACUUGUGUACUGUAGGGGUAACUGGAAUUCCUGGUGUAGCGGUGAAAUGCGCAGAUAUCAGGAGGAACACCGAUGGCGAAGGCAGGUUACUGGGCAGUUACUGACGCUGAGGAGCGAAAGCAUGGGUAGCGAACAGGAUUA